CACGUAGGGUGCGAGCGUUGUCCGGAAUUAUUGGGCGUAAAGAGCUCGUAGGCGGUGUGUCGCGUCGGCCGUGAAAACCUGCAGCUUAACUGUGGGCUUGCGGUCGAUACGGGCAUCACUGGAGUUCGGCAGGGGAGACUGGAAUUCCUGGUGUAGCGGUGAAAUGCGCAGAUAUCAGGAGGAACACCGGUGGCGAAGGCGGGUCUCUGGGCCGUAACUGACGCUGAGGAGCGAAAGCGUGGGUAGCAAACAGG
rnacentral:rRNA from 1 species